CCUCUGGUAGCUCAGUUGGUAGAGCGGGUGGACUGUAGAUCCAUAGGUCGCUGGUUCAAAUCCGGCCCAGAGGA
rnacentral:tRNA from 1 species